ACAUACGACCAUACCCACUGGAAUAUACGGGAUCCCGUCCGCUCUCCCCUAGUCAAACCAGUGAGGGCCGAACUAGUACUCAGGUGGGUGACCACUGGGGAAUCCUCGGUGUGGUAUGUU
rfam:Magnaporthe oryzae 70-15 chromosome 2, whole genome shotgun sequence.